rnacentral:lncRNA from 1 species
GGUUGAUGCUGUGAAUGCGCUCGGUCAUCCCCUUGCAACUGAUGUCACCUGCAGCAUGUCAACGCAGACACAAAACAGGGCAUGGGUCAGAUCUAGCUGGUUGCAUUCCUAACACCUAGGUUUCAGAGUAAAAAUACAGAGUCAGCUUGUGAUGGCAUUCCCUCAAAACAUGGAAGGAAUUGCAGUAAUGAAAGUCAUCAUGUAUUCUAAGAGACUGUUCUGCGAGAGCACAACACAGACGGGGCUAAAGCAGGGAUUGUCUAAGCCCAGUGUGGAGGAACCAUCAAGGAUUUCAGCACGUUUUUUUAGCCAUUGUGAGAAGCAAAAGUGCUCAGGAGUUAAGAGAAGCAGACGUCCGAAAUUAUCUCCAUGCAUUACCAAAAACCGUGGGCACCACGGCACGGGGAAAACUUACCAGGUACAAUGAGCCAGUGACUGUUACUGAAUUUCUUAAGAUUACACUUUUCCCAACUACUGCAGACUGCUUCAGAAUAGAAGAAGACAACUCUCAUGCCAUCAAGCCGACGGACUUUCAAAAAAAUAAAAGAUGCAUUUCUUUACUUGUAAGUAUUUGUCUUUGCAAAGGGCUCUCUGAUAUGGUAGCACAGAAGUUUGCACAUUCUAAGGAUCU